rnacentral:tRNA from 2 species
CAGGACGUGGGAUAGUCUGGUAGUCCGCGUGGUCCGGAACCACGAAAUCGUCGGUUCAAAUCCGACCGUCCUGACUA